CAGCAGCCACGGUAAUACGGAGGGCGCGAGCGUUACCCGGAUUUACUGGGCGUAAAGGGCGUGUAGGCGGCCUGGGGCGUCCCAUGUGAAAGGCCACGGCUCAACCGUGGAGGAGCGUGGGAUACGCUCAGGCUAGAGGGUGGGAGAGGGUGGUGGAAUUCCCGGAGUAGCGGUGAAAUGCGCAGAUACCGGGAGGAACGCCGAUGGCGAAGGCAGCCACCUGGUCCACUUCUGACGCUGAGGCGCGAGAGCGUGGGGAGCAAACCGGAUUAGAUACCCCUGUAGUCCCUGUCUCUUAUAA
rnacentral:rRNA from 1 species